rnacentral:rRNA from 1 species
CACGGGGGGAGCAAGCGUUGUUCGGAAUCACUGGGCGUAAAGGGCGUGUAGGCGGUCAGGUAAGUGAGAUGUGAAAUGCCCCGGCUCACCCGGGGACCGGCAUCUCAUACUGCUUGGCUUGAGUACGGGAGAGGAUGUGGGAAUUCCUGGUGUAGCGGUGAAAUGCGCAGAUAUCAGGAAGAACACCCGUGGCUAAGGCGGCUCUCUAGUACGGUACUGACGCUGAGACGCGAAAGCGUGGGGAGCGAACAGG